GACGAACGCUGGCGGCGUGCUUAACACAUGCAAGUCGAACGGAAAGGCCCUGCUUUUGUGGGGUGCUCGAGUGGCGAACGGGUGAGUAACACGUGAGUAACCUGCCCUUGACUUUGAGAUAACUUCAGGAAACUGGGGCUAAUACCGGAUAGGAGCUCCUGCUGCAUGGUGGGGGUUGGAAAGUUUCGGCGGUUGGGGAUGGACUCGCGGCUUAUCAGCUUGUUGGUGGGGUAGUGGCUUACCAAGGCUUUGACGGGUAGCCGGGCUGAGAGGGUGACCGGCCACAUUGGGACUGAGAUACGGCCCAGACUCCUACGGGAGGCAGCAGUGGGGAAUAUUGCACAAUGGGCGGAAGCCUGAUGCAGCAACGCCGCGUGCGGGAUGACGGCCUUCGGGUUGUAAACCGCUUUCGCCUGUGACGAAGCGUGAGUGACGGUAAUGGGUAAAGAAGCACCGGCUAACUACGUG
rnacentral:rRNA from 1 species